AGUCGAACGAAGUCUUCGGACUUAGUGGCGCACGGGUGAGUAACAUGUGGGAAUCUACCUAGAGGUUCGGGAUAACUGCGGGAAACUGUAGCUAAUACCGGAUGUGUCUGCAAAGAGAAAGAUUUAUCGCCUUUAGAUGAGCCCGCACUAGAUUAGCUUGUUGGUGAGGUAACUGCUCCACCAAGGCUACGAUCUAUAGCUGAUUUGAGAGGAUGAUCAGCCACACUGGGACUGAGACACGGCCCAGACUCCUACGGGAGGCAGCAGUAGGGAAUAUUGGACAAUGGGGGAAACCCUGAUCCAGCAAUGCCGCGUGAGUGAAGAAGGCCUUCGGGUUGUAAAACUCUUUCAUCAAUGAUGAUAAUGACAUUAGUUGAAGAAGAAGCUCCGGCUAACUCCGUGCCAGCAGCCGCGGUAAUACGGAGGGGGCUAGCGUUGUUCGGAAUUACUGGGCGUAAAGCGUAUGUAGGCGGAUCAAAAAGUUAGAUGUGAAAUCCCUGGGCUUAACCCAGGAACUGCAUUUAAAACUAGUGAUCUAGAAAUUGGUAGGGGUUAGUAGAAUUUCCAGUGUAGAGGUGAAAUUCGUAGAUAUUGGAAAGAAUACCAGUGGCGAAGGCGACUAACUAGGCCAUUUUUGACGCUGAGAUACGAAAGCGUGGGUAGCAAACAGGAUUAGAUACCCUGGUAGUCCACGCAGUAAACGAUGAGUGCUAGUCGCUGGGACAAUAGUUUCAGUGUCGAAGCUAACGCAUUAAGCACUCCGCCUGGGAAGUACGGUCGCAAAAUUAAAACUCAAAUAAAUUGACGGGGGCCCGCACAAGCGGUGGA
rnacentral:rRNA from 1 species